GGCCUACACCCCACUCCUGGUACCAGCUGCUUGGGCCCCCCCUGUGGCACAUGCCUCUGAGAUGGAGGGAUUAAUG
ensembl:miRNA